UGGGGAAUUUUGGACAAUGGGCGAAAGCCUGAUCCAGCAAUGCCGCGUGAGUGAAGAAGGCCUUCGGGUUGUAAAGCUCUUUUGUCAGGGAAGAAACGGUGAGAGCUAAUAUCUCUUGCUAAUGACGGUACCUGAAGAAUAAGCACCGGCUAACUACGUGCCAGCAGCCGCGGUAAUACGUAGGGUGCAAGCGUUAAUCGGAAUUACUGGGCGUAAAGCGUGCGCAGGCGGUUUUGUAAGUCUGAUGUGAAAUCCCCGGGCUCAACCCGGGAAUUGCAUUGGAGACUGCAAGGCUAGAAUCUGGCAGAGGGGGGUAGAAUUCCACGUGUAGCAGUGAAAUGCGUAGAUAUGUGGAGGAACACCGAUGGCGAAGGCAGCCCCCUGGGUCAAGAUUGACGCUCAUGCACGAAAGCGUGGGGAGCAAACAGGAUUAGAUACCCCAGUAGUCCCUGAGCGGGCUGGCAAGGCGCAU
rnacentral:rRNA from 1 species